AUGUCGCGGCUCUUCAACGACGUCCCUUCACCGCUUCCGUCGUGCUACAUUGUUCAUCAUCUCGCCUCAAUCUCUCAUAGAUUCAAAUUGCAACGUCGUGCCUCAAGCUUCGUCGCGAUUCUUCGACGCCUACCUUCUUUGAUCUACAUCUCAUCUUCUUCGAACGCAGCCUUUGAUUCACCUCCUCUGAGACAUCUUCGUAUCCAAUCGUGGACCUCACUUCAAUCACAGUUUCACGCUCUUCGUUCACUUCCUCGCAGUAAACAGAACGUAGAAAAUGCAGAAGAAAUGAAGAAUGCUUACCUACCGGAGAAUCGUCCGAAAAUGAAAAAUCCUCCUUUCUUGCAAGAGAGUUCCUGUUUUUAUAAUGGCCAGAAGUUUGUUACAGGAAUUGGCCGUUUGAAAGAAAGAAGAUGGCUUUUGGCAUGA